GAACAGGAUUAGAUACCCUGGUAGUCCACGCCGUAAACGGUGGGUACUAGGUGUGGGUUUCCUUCAUUGGGAUCCGUGCCGUAGCUAACGCAUUAAGUACCCCGCCUGGGGAGUACGGCCGCAAGGCUAAAACUCAAAGAAAUUGACGGGGGCCCGCACAAGCGGCGGAGCAUGUGGAUUAAUUCGAUGCAACGCGAAGAACCUUACCUGGGUUUGACAUGCACAGGACGCCGGCAGAGAUGUCGGUUCCCUUGUGGCCUGUGUGCAGGUGGUGCAUGGCUGUCGUCAGCUCGUGUCGUGAGAUGUUGGGUUAAGUCCCGCAACGAGCGCAACCCUUGUCUCAUGUUGCCAGCGGGUAAUGCCGGGGACUCGUGAGAGACUGCCGGGGUCAACUCGGAGGAAGGUGGGGAUGACGUCAAGUCAUCAUGCCCCUUAUGUCCAGGGCUUCACACAUGCUACAAUGGCCGGUACAAAGGGCUGCGAUGCCGCGAGGUUAAGCGAAUCCUUUUAAAGCCGGUCUCAGUUCGGAUCGGGGUCUGCAACUCGACCCCGUGAAGUCGGAGUCGCUAGUAAUCGCAGAUCAGCAACGCUGC
rnacentral:rRNA from 1 species